CUCCUGGGUUCAAAGAGUUUAUAGUCUGGUGGAAGACCAAGAGCUAGGUUAGAAGGCCUCAUACACUACGCUCCACCCACUGCAGGUAUUACAGAUGUUUUUAAAAUAUGGAACUGUUCUGGCCCUCUAAAAAUAAAAGGGAGAAGUCACAUGGACAUUGAAAUGCAGAGAAAAGAGUAUCCUCAAGCAGCCUCCUCAGCUAUAGCCCAAGGGAUAGAAAACUUAAAAAAAAAAAAAAAAGACUAAGUGUGUUACUCUUGGUGAAAGAUGUCUGGCAGGUAGAAUUGUCAAAAAUUUAUAGAAUGUAAAUACCAAGAGGGAUGGGAAUGCUCUUGAACUUGCAAUCAAGUUGGGAGUAAUGGAAUAAAGAAGACCAUCUCUAAGACAUUUUACUAUGAAGAUUUAUUAAAGUAUGAAAAAAUCCUAGUCCCAAAGGCAUCUCUGCUUGCAACAAUUAAGGUAGAAAGAUCUAAAGUCAAUUCACAAUUUUAAAUAGAAAUACGGGUUGCAGAAAACAUAAGUGAAUUUUAUCAUCAUCAUCUCCAAACCACAUUUUUACUAAAGCUUCCAACCUCCUUCCUUGACCUUCUAAAAAUACGAAUUUGCAUUUCUUGGAUAAUUUCUAUUGAGUCUAAGAGUCAUUUUCUUGUGGGAAAAGUGGAUGCCUUCUGUUUCUCACAGGCAGAACCAUGAUUUCUUUUAAGGACAGAGAGAAGCUCUUUAACUGAGAGAAUUCCCUCCUUCCCCACGCGUGUUCUAUCUCUCACGGAGAGCAGAUGAAUCAUGGGGGAAGUUUUCUGGCAAAAUAAAAGGAACAAUGGUCAUCAUGUACUGAGUAUCUGCCAUGUCCUAAGUACUGUUGUAAGGGCUUUAAUACAUGUGUCAUUUAAUCUUCACAGCAACCCUAGGAGAUAGGCAUUCUUAUUGACUCAUUUUAUGGAUAAAGAAACCAAGGCUUCCAUGGCGGAAUGGUUAUAUAUGCUCUAGUAUAUUCCUAAACUUAAAUAUUAUGCAGCCCCUACAAAAAAUAUUUUCACAAAAUUUUUGUGUACGUGAGUUUAUAAUUAAAGUAUAUAAUAAUUAAGUUCUCAAUUUCCAAUGUGCCACUGGAAAAUAUAUUCCAAAAUGCUAAUAAUAAUUAGAUUGAGUCAUAGAAUUAUGGAUGAUUUUGUAUACUUUUCUAUACAUAGCUUUUAAAAAUUAAAAAAGUAACAAAAAUAAAAAUUUGGUUUUUAGAGGAAAAAGUUAUAUCCAGGAAGUACAACCAAAAAGGCAUAGCAUUUAAAAUACAAGAACAUUAAUUUCUGGCUGGCAAUUCUUAGGAUGGUUUCAUGAAAAAGAUAACAUUUGAUGCAGACACUGAAAAAUAAAUAGGAUUUAACACAGAUCUAGACAGGAAACAAAGCAGAAGAGGGACACAUUCCAAGCAGAGAAGGGUGGAGCAAGAUUGAUAAAAAUUGGAGGCAUGCUAAAGGAAGCUGAGAGAAAAGACCCAAAACAGAUAAAAGCCAGUUUGAAAAUGCUACAGCAUACUUGGUUAAGGAUUUUGGAGUUUGAUAGACAAUGGCAAACUUCUGAAGGUUUUUUGGUAGGGCAGUGCCAUGAUCAAAGAAAUGCUUUAGACCUUCUUCUGUCAGGUUAUAUGCAGAAGGAAUGGUAGAUGCAAGGGAGUACAGACAGGAGGAAUAAUUAGAGAGUCAUUGAACUAAUUUAGGCCUAAGAUCAUAGGGCUAGAAUUAGCCUGAUGGCAGUGGAAAUGACAAGGGAGGAAGAGAUGGAGCAGUUCCCCUCUCCGCCUCUCCAGCCUAACUCCCCACUCCUGCUCCUCUUAUGCCAUCCACUUCAGAUACUCUGGCCUGUUCCUAGAAGGAGCUAAAGGACUUCUUGUCCAGGGUCCUGCUCCUUCAACCCUUCUCCUUCUGACACUUUUGUUCUUAUUCCAUCAUUUGGGUUUCAGCCUAAAUAUUUCUUGCAGGAGUAUUGCCCUGGUCCAGUCUAGAUUAGGUUUUCCUGUUUCACUUCCUGUUAAGCACCCUGCACUUUUUUUUUUCAUUGUUUUUACCAUAAUAAGUAGCUAAAACUAAUAUUUAUUUUAAGUUUAUGACAUCAGUUACUAUGUUAGAUCCUUUAAAAGUAUUAGCUCAUUUAAUUUUCAAAGUAAGUAUUAAUAUUAUCCACUAUUUUCUAGGUAAGGAAACUAAAGAUUAGAGAGGUAGUUAUGGAUUCCGGGAGUGACUGCUCUCACCUACCACAUGUACUAGGUUACGAGCAGGGGGAGGUAAUUUGAUAUGGUGACCAUCAAAAGGAGCAUGGAAUCUAGAGUCAGACUGCUUGGGCUAUUUUCUUAGCUCUGCCACUUACUAGGUGUAAGACCCCUGGCGCAAGUUCUUUAAUUCCUCUUGAUCUCAAUUUCCCCAUCUGUAAAAUGGAGGGGGGGGGAUAUUAUUGCCUCUCUCACAGAGUUCUUACAAGGAUGAAAUGAAUUAAUGACUUAGAACAAGAUUGGCACAUAAUAAGUGUAACAUAUCUGAAAACGAUUAUUGGUUGUGUUAUAAUUUGUUAAAAACCUGUCCUCCCAUCUCUUCGGAAAGAGGUAGAAACUGUGUUUAUCAUUGUACUGACAAGUGUCUAGCACAGUACCUGGCCACGGUGUUUGGCAAAUAUCUGAAUGAAUGUUUGGUAAAUAUUUGAAUGAAUGAAUGAACAAAUGGAAAUCUUAGUUCAGAGAGCUUAUCGAACAGCACCAUCAUGCACUUUAAAAUUUAUGAUGCAGGUUUUUAUUAUUAUUUUAUUUAAUUCUAACCACAAACUCAAAGAAGACAGUGAAGGAACUAUCAUCCUCACUGCUGAGUCUCAGAAAACUGUUAGCUUAAAUUCAUAUAGCUAGUAAAUAGUAGAGCCAAGAAGAACCCAGAUCUCUGACUGCCUGAGGCCACAGGGUGCCUUAAAGGCAACCCAGGUGAGAUUCACUGCAUAUGGGAAGUGAACCAAUGGCCAUUGACUGAUGAUGCUCUCCUGAGUUGCCCCAGGUCUGAGCCCUGGCCAUUCUAUGAAUCCUAAAAACCUAACUACUGCCUCAGCUUUAUUCUGUAUUCCUGUUGGAGGUACUUGAUGGCCUUUCCUUGUCCAAGCAUCUCUUACUGACCCCACUGCUCAUCCCAAAUCUAAGUGAAGUAUCACAGACCAAGGCUAACACCAACCUAGAGUGCUUUAAUUGGACUAUAUAACAAGGUAGAAUUGAGAAAAAAGAAAUUAAAUGAGUUAACUGGGUUACAAGCCCGGUGAACCAGUAGAAUGGUAGUCGCAUUAACACAAAUGGACAAUAUAGAAAUAGUUUGUUUUAAAGAAUAUAGAAUCUAUUCAACAUUAGACUUAAGUUUGGGAUGUCAGUAAGGACUCUAAGUAAACAAUGGAUAUCUAGCAAUUAGAAGUGGAAUUAGGAUUCAAAAGAGAUGUCAAUAUAGAACUGUAGAGAUCAUCUGUGACAAAGGAAUGGAAGAAGCCAAAGAACCUUGAUCCCGCACAACAUUAGUGCAGGGCUUUUCAAACUAUGAUAUGUAGCAUUCCUCAGAGAGGCAUUAGAGUCCAGCCGCCUAGGCUUUGAACCUCAGCAUAGGGCCAUAUUUAUCUGAUUUAUAUUGAAUUUCAGCGUCAGAGUUUGCUUAAUAAAAUCAAAUUUUGCAGCUAAAGAAAUGUUUGAAGUACUGAUUUAGUAGGUAUUCUCUGUCCAUGUCCAACUACAUCUGCUUCUUACAGCAUCUCUGUCCCUGCACAGAUAGAGACAUGGCAGGGAAAAACCGUUAACUUGAAUUUAGUUCUGAUAGUGAACAAGCACUCAGCACCAGGGACUAACUGAAUAAUAUUCAUGUGACUCAUGUAUGAUUUAGAAAACAUUUUGAUGUUUAGGUCAGUUCCAAUUCAAUGAAUUAGUUACAGGUUCAAACUGUUCACUAGGGUUUAAUUAAAUUAAAAAAAAACUUUCUCAGUUCAGAAAAAAAUAAAAAUAAUAAUGAUUUGAUUUAAGGCUCAGCAAAUUUGUGUAAUUCAUUCCAAGUUUUCCCUCAUGGUUUGCCUCUGCACCAACUAUAGAGGAAAAUGCCCUGUAAAUAUCUAUGAAUCAAUGCUGGUGGACUAUAUUCAAGGCCUCCACUUAAAAUGACAUGUCAGAGCCAUCUAUGUCACGGGGUAAAUCCCCAGCUAGCUCUUUCCUUUAGUGCUGGGCAAGACGUAGGUCUAGUUUCAUAGGUAGAAGACUUGCCCGGCUCUCCUGAGAAGAGGUCCCAGAUCACAGGAUACCCAAAAGACAAGUGCAUCACGGGGAUGAGAAAUUACAUUAGACACAGCUGCCCCUUCAGAGCCUCAAGUUUCACAUGGAUUAGCACCUACUUGUUAUUUCUCUCUAGGCCCAAUUCCCAGAUCUAUUAGUUCACCCAAGGCCCCUUAUCCAUAGGAGACAUGAAUUAUGCCAGGGCAAAUUUAAACUGCCACAAGCAUUCAAGUAAGGGCAGAUCCUGGCUUUCCUUCAGUCAAGCCUUAGAGAAUUAAAAAUAAUAAUAAAAUCUGCUUCCAGUUGAUCUAUUUCUUUUUACCUCUUGAUUAGUUGAUAUCCAGCCCAUGAAAACCUCAAUUUUUAAAAAAUGUUUCUCAUUAUUGCCUUGGUUUUUUGAAAAUACUCAAAUUCAUUUUGCAGCUGCAAAAUGUCUUCGCUAAAACCUCUAACUAAAGAAAAUGGUUGAAUUCCCCUGUGGAAAAUGUAUGAUGUUGCUAGAGUCAGUUUCCUCAUUUUAAACAUAUUCAUUGAGACAUACACCAUUUAUUCAGUGUGAUCCAUUUGACCUCUAUGUUAGCAAUUUACAUAAUACCUUGAAUUGGUGAUGGUGGGUCAGGGGCUUUCAAAAGAAAUCAUAUAGCUUUCCAUUGUCUAACUUAUGCCAAUAGCCUUACCAGGAACAAAGAAAACAUGCUUCUGCAAAGGAGGCUAUGUAUUAUUAUGAGGCCUAGAAGAGUCUGAAAUCAGGGAGAAGGGGUGGGGCCAAGACUCAGACAGCCUUGAGUUCAAAUCCCAGCUCUUCACCUCCUUGGUAGGCAAACUUGAGCAAGUCAUUUAACUUUUCUGAACCUGUUUCAAAAUGGACUAUCAUGCAGUUCCCAUCGUGGCGCAGUGGUUAACGAAUCUGACUAGGAACCAUGAGGUUGCAGGUUCAGUCCCUGCCCUUGCUCAGUGGGCUGACGAUCCAGCGUUGCCGUGAGCUGUGGUGUAGGUUGCAGACGCAGCUCGGAUCCCACGUUGCUAUGGCUCUGGAGUAGGCCGGUGGCUACAGCUCCGAUUGGACCCCUAGCCUGGGAAUCUCCAUAUGCCGCGGGAGCGGCCCAAGAAAGAGCAAAAAG
rnacentral:lncRNA from 1 species